rnacentral:rRNA from 1 species
AGUGAACGCUGGCGGCGUGCUUAACACAUGCAAGUCGAACGAGAACGGGUUAUAGCUUGCUAUAAUUGUCAGCUAAGUGGCGCACGGGUGAGUAAUGUAUAGGUAAUAUGCCUCUUACUAAGGGAUAACAAAUGGAAACGUUUGCUAAUACCUUAUACUCCUUAUUAACAGAAGUUAAUAAGGGAAAGAUUUAUUGGUAAGAGAUUAGCCUGUAUUGUAUCAGUUAGUUGGUGGGGUAAUGGCUUACCAAGACUAUGACACAUAACUGGUUUGAGAGGAUGAUCUGUCACACUGGAACUGGGACCCGGUCCAAUCUCCUACUGGAGGCAGCAGUGGGGAAUAAUGUAAAAUGGACGAAAGUCUGAUGCAGCAUCGCCGCGUGGAGGAUGACACAUUUCGGUGCGUAAUCUCCUUUUAUAUGAGAAGAUAAUGACGGUAUUAUAUGAAUAAGCACCGGCUAACUCCGUGCCAGCCGCCGCCGUAACAC